AAUAGAUACCCUGGUAGUCCACGCCGUAAACGAUGAGUGCCAAGUGUUAGAGGGUUUCCGCCCUUUAGUGCUGCAGCUAACGCAUUAAGCACUCCGCCUGGGGAGUACGGCCGCAAGGCUGAAACUCAAAGGAAUUGACGGGGGCCCGCACAAGCGGUGGAGCAUGUGGUUUAAUUCGAAGCAACGCGAAGAACCUUACCAGGUCUUGACAUCCUCUGCCACUCCUAGAGAUAGGACGUUCCCCUUCGGGGGACAGAGUGACAGGUGGUGCAUGGUUGUCGUCAGCUCGUGUCGUGAGAUGUUGGGUUAAGUCCCGCAACGAGCGCAACCCUUGUUCUUAGUUGCCAGCAUUCAGUUGGGCACUCUAAGGAGACUGCCGGUGACAAACCGGAGGAAGGUGGGGAUGACGUCAAAUCAUCAUGCCCCUUAUGACCUGGGCUACACACGUGCUACAAUGGAUGGUACAAAGGGCUGCGAAACCGCGAGGUUAAGCCAAUCCCAUAAAACCAUUCUCAGUUCGGAUUGUAGG
rnacentral:rRNA from 1 species